rnacentral:lncRNA from 1 species
UGCCGUUCCCCGCGCCGUUGGAGGGGUCGGCGUCGCCGGCGGCGGACGAGUAUACCCUCAGGCGCUUGGGCGAGGCGGCGCCGGCGGCGGCGGCCAUGGGGAAAGGGUUUAGGAUUUGGGGUCGCACGCGGGGAAGGAACGUGACGGCUCGCUGGGACAGCCUCCAGGCGCAGGCGGCGAGCAUUAUAGGUCGUGCCGACGGUUGGGCUGCGGUGGUUUCGGGGUUGUGUGGAGAUGUAGGGUUUUCAGGAGGGGGGUUUGGGCNGGGUCGCACGCGGGGAAGGAACGUGACGGCUCGCUGGGACAGCCUCCAGGCGCAGGCGGCGAGCAUUAUAGGUCGUGCCGACGGUUGGGCUGCGGUGGUUUCGGGGUUGUGUGGAGAUGUAGGGUUUUCAGGAGGGGGGUUUGGGCUUUUGGCAAGUCGGCCAGACGCAUUUCCCAACCCUUCUUUUAUUUCCGAAGGUGCUAGAUAUUUUAUGUUUGCAGAUUUUUGUGUUGCCAAACUAAUUCUAACUAUAUUUGAACAACUUUUUCUUUUCGGGUAAAUAUUUGAACAACAUUGUUACGGUGUUAUAUUCAUAAUUAAUUUC